GACGAAGGUGGCUAGCGUUGUUCGGAAUCACUGGGCUUAAAGGGCGCGUAGGCGGCCCAUCAAGUGCUUUGUGAAAUCCCUCGGCUCAACCGAGGAAUUGCUUGGCAGACUGAUGGGCUUGAGGUAGGCAGGGGCGAGUGGAACUCUUGGUGGAGCGGUGGAAUGCGUAGAUAUCAAGAGGAACGCCGGCGGUGAAGACGACUCGCUGGGCCUGUCCUGACGCUGAGGCGCGAAAGCCAGGGGAGCAAACGGG
rnacentral:rRNA from 1 species